GGAAUUGUUUCGCGUGAUUAGAACACACGGAAGUCAGUGAAUAGCAGCAGGUGGAAGAGGCAGGAGGAGUGGAGAGAGAAGAUGACGGUUCAGAGGCUCUUUUCACUCUUUUAACUUGCACUUUCUCAGGAUGCAGCAGUCCACUCAAACUCCUCCUGCCAGGGUUCAGCUGGACGGCAGCGGGUGAACAACCUUCAACACAAAACACAAAUGUCACACAAAGUUCUGUGUCACACAGUCAAUGUGAUCUUUACCCC